CAACAGACGAGGAGUCCCACAAUAGGACGAAACGGCCGUUCAGUGC
rnacentral:hammerhead_ribozyme from 1 species